rnacentral:rRNA from 1 species
UACGGGGGGGGUAAGCGUUGUUCGGAAUUACUGGGCGUAAAGGGCUCGUAGGCGGCCAACUAAGUCAUACGUGAAAUCCCUCAGCUUAACUGGGGAACUGCGUGUGAUACUGGAUGGCUUGGAUUUGGGAGAGGGAUGCGGAAUUCCAGGUGUAGCGGUGAAAUGCGUAGAUAUCUGGAGGAACACCGGUGGCGAAGGCGGCAUCCUGGACCAAUAUUGACGCUGAGGAGCGAAAGCCAGGGAGCAAACGGG